UACGUAGGGUGCGAGCGUUGUCCGGAAUUAUUGGGCGUAAAGAGCUCGUAGGCGGUGUGUCGCGUCGGCCGUGAAAACUUGCAGCUUAACUGUGGGCGUGCGGUCGAUACGGGCAUCACUGGAGUUCGGCAGGGGAGACUGGAAUUCCUGGUGUAGCGGUGAAAUGCGCAGAUAUCAGGAGGAACACCGGUGGCGAAGGCGGAUCUCUGGGCCAUUACUGACGCUGAGGAGCGAAAGCGUGGGGAGCGAACAGG
rnacentral:rRNA from 1 species